rnacentral:rRNA from 1 species
CUCCAGAAUUCAUAUGCUUGUCCCGAAGAUUCAAGCCAUGCAUGCCUAGGAAAAUCCGGCCCUGCAGGGGGCAACCCCUCAGGCCUGGUGAAUCAGCGAACGGCUCCGUAUAUCUGUUGUUACCUAUCGGUGGUAAAUGGGGCGUGGAUAUGCAUGGAAAAGCUGUGUAUAAUACAAGCAACACGGGGCAGCCUCCACCACCUGGCACCGGCUGGGGGGGUAAGUAGGGGCCUUUUCCAUGGGUCCCAGCCUCAUUAAUAGCUCUCAAAGUACCUUGGCCGCUGCGCCGCACUCGCCUGCGGGGCCUUUGGGCCCGGGGCCUGUGCGGCCAGGGUAUGUCGUUGAGUCGACCGGACAAGGGAAACGGAGGCCUCUGUAGCGCGGCGAGCACUCCAGCCUCUCAGAGCCGCCCAGCGCGCCUCGGCGAGGUCCGGCAUGCCUGCUUUUAAACAGAGACUAACCACAAGCGCCCGAUGGGCUUCAGACCUAUCAGCUAGAUGGUAAGGUAUUGGCCUACCAUGGCUAUGACGGGUACAGAGGAUUAGGGUUUGAUCCUGGAGAGGUAGCCUGAGAAAUCGCUCCCACUUCUAAGGAAGGCAGCAGGCGCGCAACGUUCCCAAUGCUAGGCUCCCCUAGUGAGGACGUGAUGAGACAUAACUAUCCGCCUGAGGA